GACAGAGGGGGCGAGCGAUGUCCGGAGUCACUGGGCGUAAAGCGCGCGCAGGCGGCAACCUUAGUGUCGUGUGAAAGCCCCCGGCUCAACCGGGGGAGGCCAUGGCAAACUGGGUCGCUCGAGCUGCGGAGAGGCUCCUCGAAUUGCCGGUGUAGCGGUGAAAUGCGUAGAGAUCGGCAGGAAGAACAAGGGGGAAGCCAGGGGGCUGGCCGCAGGCUGACGCUGAGGCGAGACAGCGUGGGGAGCAAACCGG
rnacentral:rRNA from 1 species